ensembl:lncRNA
CAUACUAUAUUACAGUACAGUCUAAUAGAGCAUACUAUAUUACAGUACAGUGUAGUCUAAUAGAGCAUACUAUAUUACAGUACAGUGUAGUCUAAUAGAGCAUACUAUAUACAGUACAGUCUAAUAGAGCAUACUAUAUUACAGUACAGUCUAAUAGAGCAUACUAUAUUACAGUACAGUCUAAUAGAGCAUACUAUUACAGUACAGUCUUAAUAGAGCAUACUAUAUUACAGGACAGGCUAAUAGAGCAUACUAUAUUACAGUACAGUGCAGUCUAAUAGAGCAUACUAUAUUACAGUACAGUGUAGUCUAAUAGAGCAUACUAUAUUACAGUACAGUGUAGUCUAAUAGAGCAUACUAUAUUACAGUACAGUGUAGUCUAAUAGAGCAUACUAUAUUACAGUACAGUCUA